rnacentral:lncRNA from 10 species
AAUAUGGCAGCACCACAGAGAGUGUGUCCUCCUUAGAGUACCUGCACUGAAAUUUAUCCAACACAAAGGUACUCUUGGAUGGUUUUCGACAGAGGGAGACAACUAGACAUUAUGAGUCUCUUGAUGGAAGAACAUACUUCUAAAGUUCUGCCCCCACAAAACCAAACCUGAAUCUGAUCUUGCCUUUACACACAGCUACCUGUUUAUAGGAAAUACAGAGGACAGAGGGAUAUUUUGCACUAUACCAAGAGGAUGCAAAGACAAAAACAAGAACAAACUAGUAAUGGCUUGUGGGAAACUUGAUGGAUCAAAUUUCCUUUAACAAAUAGAAAGGGGUAAGAGUGGGGGGUGAGGGAGAGAAAACCUAUAAACAAAGAGACAUAUGAAACUAAAAGGCAUAUGAAAUAAAUUAAAGAACAGGCACAGGUAAAUUAUAUUGUUCAGGGAUUUAUCCUGGGUGAUAAAACUAAAGAAUUGCAAGGAAGCAAUUGUAAAGACACAUGCAUGCAUAUGUUCACUGCAGCAAUAUUCACAGUAGCAAAGACCUGGAAUCAACCUAAAUGCCCAUCAAUGAUAGACUGGAUAAGGAAAAAUUGGUACAAACACACCAUGGAAUACUAUGCAACCUUAAAAAAGAAUAAGCUUAUCUUCUUUGAAGGGACAUGGAUGGAGCUGAAGGCUAUUAUCCUUAGCAAACUAGCACAGGAACAGAAAACCAAAUACUGCGUGUUCUCACUUGUAACUGGGAGCUAGAUCAUGAGAACACAUGGGCACUCAGAGGGGAACAACACACACUGGGACCUACUGGAGGGUGUAGGGUGGGAGAAAAGAGAGGAUCAGGAAAAUAACUGAUGGGUACUAGGCUUAAUACCUGGGUGAUAAAAAUAAUCUGUACAACAAACCCCCAUGACACGAGUUCACCUAUGUAACAAACCUGCACUUGUACCCAUGAACUUAAAAGUUAAAAAAAUGUGAGAGUAGUGGUCUUGUUUGGAGAGUGUGUUUGUGUAGUGAUUGAGAUGGGGCACACAGAAGGGCUUCUCAUGUAGAUGCAAGUUCUAGUUCAUGACAUAGGUGUAAUUACAGAAGGGUUUGACUUAGAGUAAUUCACUAAAUUAUAUUUUCGUUUCAUGAGUCUUUGUAUAUCCUUGUUUUAUAUUAGAAGAAAGAAAGCUUUUAGAAACGAGGAGAAGCAUACUCACAAUCUGGAAGCCCCUCAACCUCCCUCCAUCCCCCCACAUACACAUGCUUACCUCCUCUGUUUAGCCUCGAGGCAGUGCUAGUCUCCA